rnacentral:rRNA from 1 species
CCAGACUCCUACGGGAGGCAGCAGUGGGGAAUCUUGCGCAAUGGGCGAAAGCCUGACGCAGCGACGCCGCGUGCGGGAAGAAGGCCUUCGGGUUGUAAACCGCUUUCAGGAGGGACGAAGCCACUCGGGUUAAUAGCCCAGAGGGUGACGGUACCUCCAGAAGAAGCCCCGGCUAACUACGUGCCAGCAGCCGCGGUAAUACGUAGGGGGCAAGCGUUGUCCGGAUUUAUUGGGCGUAAAGAGCGUGUAGGCGGCCAGGUAGGUCUGCUGUGAAAACUCGAGGCUCAACCUCGAGAUGUCGGCGGAAACCAUCUGGCUAGAGUCCGGAAGAGGAGAAUGGAAUUCCCGGUGUAGCGGUGAAAUGCGCAGAUAUCGGGAAGAACACCCGUGGCGAAGGCGGUUCUCUGGGACGGUACUGACGCUGA